AGCUUUAAGAAAACAUCCUCUAGGGAGUGAAAAAGACCAAAACUCCACAGAAGCCACUGCUCCAGAAGAGUCGGUCCCCACUCAGGGACUCACCCCAAGGAUGGUGGAGACCUUCGAAAACACUGACUCCUUCCCCUCGCAGGUGGAGGGUGCGGCGGUGCAGCCCGUGAAGGGAGUCCGACAGCAGGUCAGGAGUGGACCCAAGAAGAAGAAAGACCUUGGGACUCUCGGUUAUGUUCUGGCCGUCUUCAUGAUGGCCAUUAUCAUCCUACUUGGAGGUGGCAUCACAAUAGGAUACUUCUACAAACGGGGUCGUGACCUCAAGAAACAGCACGAGCAGCGGGUUUACGAGCGUGAGAUGCAUCGCAUCACUCUUCCACUCUCAGCCUUUGCCAACCCCACCUGCGAGCUGGUGGAUGAGAACACCAUCGUCAUCACAGCUCAACCCAACAACCAGACCCCCACUCAGGAGCCCGUCGAGGGGGCCGACCCGCUUAUGGGGACAGCAGGGACCCCUGGAGCCUGAUGGAGGAACAGGAUGAGCGCCUGGAAAGGCGUCUUUGUUAAGACAUGUCUAUGCAGUAUUGCAGAAUCUCAGAGGACUAAACCCCAUGUCCACCUUCCCUCUGCCUGUCGUCUCUUUUCUCUUUACCUUGCCUUUACAGCACGGUUUCACAGUAAAGGUAGGGCAUAUGCCUUGAGAGAGUGGUGGAAAGCAUUUUUUGUCCCAGACAGUGUCCUUAUUUUCUCAACAAAGUUGUUGGGGAAAGUAGGACAUGUGGGGAUACACUGGAAGAAGGUGAAAUGGUGGGUUUGUAUUAAUAUGCAUGUCAGGGAUUCCCGUGGAGAAAAAUUGCAAGUACGUUUUGUGAGCAUCAUCACAGGGCAUGAACUUUCCCUGCUUGUUAAACUCCAACGAGACGGCGACUGUCCAGUUAACUGUGCCGUGUCCUCUGGAUCAGAUCAUCAGAUGUUCUGGGGUUUUGAAAGAGAAGACAAUCCACUCUUAUCUUCUUUCCUGCCUUUUCUGUUGUUUUUGUUCCUAACGCAGUUGUGGUGGAGAGUUGAGACUGAAAUUGUACAUGUGUAUCUGAAUUUGUUGCUCUACAGCUGGGCUGUUUAUUCUUUAGGGAGAUUUGGUUAGCAACUAGAGCUAAUUGAGUUAAUUGCCUUUGAUAGCUCUUCCCCAGAAAUCCAUAUUCAUUAGGCAGAUCAUGUGGCCUGGGAUGCUAGCGCUAAGCUAGGUGAAGGUUUUGACUAAAUGAAGAGGAAAUCUUUCCAGAGAUCUUGCCUUAGUAAAUUACAUUUGAAUGUAUUGUUGCUCCUGUGGCCACAGUCUGAUGAAGAGCAAGUGAGCGCUGUCAUGACUUCAGCAAACCAGUCAGAGUGGGUCUCUGGGUACAUUUACUGUAUCCGUGUUCAUUUGUUCCUGAACAUACAGAUGGUCUGAAAUAGGACAUAGUUUGAAGCUUGAACCUGAAACUGAGAGUGUGUUCAAGAUGACGUAUUAAAGUAAUGUAUUAUGGUUUUAUUUAACAGAGAUGGGAUUUUUUUGAUGAAUG
ensembl:lncRNA